rnacentral:lncRNA from 10 species
AGAGCAGCGCAUAUAUUCACAGAAAGAAUAUAGGUGACUUAAAACUUCCCCGGCAGAACUUCACUGAAACAGCUCUGGAAAGAGCGGUGACAGUUAACCAGAAGGUAGCAAAGAAGAGUAAAAAUGAAGCAAAGAAAAAUGAGAAAUGGAAAUCCAGACCUCUGAGAAGGAGCACUGCUCAGCUGAUAGUGGGAUCUUUGAGCUUGGGAUGGGGAUGAGAAGAGAAAAUAGAGCUGGUUCUGCAAGCAAACUGGAUCCAGAUACUUCAGAAAGGAACUACUGCCACUAUGGUGAGGAAGUAUUGUUGAAAAAACGUUCACAGGAACAGAAAGCUGACAGGAAGUAGAUAGAAAGUCAUAGGAUGCAAGUUGGAAGAAAGAAAUCCCUUUUUCCCUUCCAGAUUUGUAGACCUUCCCACGUACCCUUAUGGACAGAGUCAAACAUGGAGCUGUUGGCAAAGCAGAAAUGUGGUCUGCAGAGUUUGAGCCCCAGUGUCACAAAGCAGAGUGUAAAAGGGUAAAUAACAGCUUACAAGCAGAAGUCACGAAGAUCUUACUGAAAAUAACCAUAACAUAAUCUUUCAUCUAAAGACUUUCCUGGCUCCUCCUGUAUAGUGCUUUACUUUGCUGAACUUGCAUACACACCAGGUUAAUUUAUAGUUGGAGAAAA